rnacentral:rRNA from 1 species
CACCUCUCGCCCCUCGUCGACCUGCCCCCCUUGACCCGACCCGACGACGCGACUUCACCGCAGAAGGCCGCCGCCGCCGUCGCCGCCACUCAGCGGCCGCCGACUUGGCGCUCCCCCAGAAACCCAGAUCCACCUCCUGUUUUUCUCCAGCAUUUCAGCAUGAUUGAACUUGUUCUCAACAACGAUGUGCUGGAGAAGUGUAUUAAAGACAUCCUCUCUCAAAUAAAACCGGCAGAGGAUGAUCUGAACAAAAGACUAUCUGCAAUUAAGGAGCUAGAAGUUUCCAUGCAACCAGUUGCAGCCUUGAGAGGUGCUGCUGCAAAACCUUUUGGAUCCUUUCUAUCAAAUCUAUACUCAAAAUCAGGAGAUUUGGAUAUAUCAGUCCAGCUCAUGAAUAGCUCAAACCUUCCUAUAAACAAGAAAAAGAAGAUAAGUAUCUUGAAAGCAGUAAGGACAGCUUUGCAAAAGGGAGGUGUUUAUGGAUAUAUGGAGUUCAUUCCUCAAGCAAGAGUCCCAGUUCUUCAGUACGUGAGCAACCGCUUUGGCAUUUCCUGCGAUUUAUCCGUUGAUAACUACCCUGGUCGAAUUAAAUCCAAAAUCUUCUACUGGAUCAGUACUUUGGAUGAGCGCUUUGGUGAUAUGGUUUUAUUGAUCAAGGAGUGGGCAAAAGCUCAAAACAUUAAUGAUCCAAAAAGUGGGACCCUGAACUCCUAUUCGCUUUGCCUACUUGUUCUCUUUCAUUUUCAGACAUGUGAGCCGGCAAUUCUACCACCUUUGGAGGACAUUUAUGAAGGGAAUAUCACAGAAGAUUUUGCAGACAUGACGCUUUAUAAUGAGGAACAUCUUGAUGAGGUUUGUGCUGCAAAUAUAGCAAAAUUUCAAAGCCAGAACAAGGAACAAAGAAAUGAAAGCUCUCUAUGUGAUCUCCUUGCAACCUUUUUUCACAAGUUUUGCCACAUUGACUCCCUUUCGAGUGAUGUGAUAUCUACCUACACGGGUCAGUUUAAGAAGAUUCAGGACAUUCCAAUUCGGCGGAAGAAACCCUAUAGCUUGUUUGUCGAAGAUCCAGUUGAGAGACCUGAUAAUGCUGCUAGAGCGGUUGGUGAGAGAGGGCUCCUCCUAAUUGCUAGUGCCUUCAGUGAUGCUAGGAGCAAGGUAGCUUCUCUCGAGCAUACUGACCGAAACGACUUACUGGCAAUGUUGUCCACACCUGGUGUUUGCUCAAAACUUGGCGGAAGAGUCAUCACUAACAAUUAUACAAAUACCCCGCUAAGGACUCGACAGCAUGUAAACAACGUGGGAGCUAAGGUAUCUAAUAAUCAACGUCGCCCCAGAGUGAAAGCAUUUACAGGGCGGCAAACGCCAGGACACCACCGAAAUCAUGACCUUCCUCAGGUUUAUGCUAACGCCGCAGUUCAUCAGCCAUCAAGACAGCCAGGGCUAUACACAAACCAUUAUACCCCAUCGGCAUAUACUCCGGGCCGCCAAACAUCAGGAUCAUACCCGAGUCAGAGUCAUCCACAGGUGCACACUACAUGGGGCCCGUCAGGGGUACCAUACGAGAAUCAUGAUCAUCAACCGGCGUAUUCCCCAAUGUACCAAGCAGCAAGGCCGUACUACUAUCCGAGUCAACAGCAGCCUCAUACAAGCGGGUUCCAAACACCAGGAUCAUACCAGUACGAGUAUCAGAGUCAGUCGCCUGUUCAUACAGGCGGGAUCCAAAGGCCAGGACCAUACAACUAUCAUAGUCAACCGCAGGGUCAUACAACUGGGGUCCACAUGCCAAGACAAUACCAGAAUGGAUAUUACAAUCAGCCGGCGUAUACUGCAGGCCAAGGAUCACACCAGAACUGGCGGGGGCCGCAAUACACACCCGACCAUCAGACUAAUAGGUACAAUAGGAAUGGGAUGACUACAAGGUACGAGCCUGUUGCUGGAGGGCUCCAGAAUGGACCGGCACGGGCACGGGACUCGCGGUCGCAAGCCUCCUCAAGCCGUACGGAAUGGCGAGGAAGCAGCCAACAUCAGACCUGACCGGAACUGUUAGUCACAGCAAAGAUAGCAAUUUGCUGUUUCCAUUGGCUGAUAAAAUGUAUUGGUUUCGACUUCAUGGUGUAUGUAAUCCUUCAUACUUCAGUUUGUCGCGGAGGCAACGUAACGAUUUCCACUAGAAAGAUUUUGUGCAGAAUGUUUCGCUGGUGUAAUGUCACUUGAGAUGCCAAACCUUGCGUUUCCCUCGUCCCUGAUGAUGACUAGAGUGUUGUUGCCUUUAUCCACUGAACUUUGCUCCACAUGUAUUCCCCUUGUGCUGCAUCUUCUCUUUUAGAGCAGUGAAUGCAGUUUUCUAAGAAAAAUGCUACU